UGAAAUAUUAAAGGGACCCUCCCCAUGUAUUGCAUUCUGUCCCUCCCUUCCCUCCCUUUUGAGUAAAAGCCAUAUUGGAAUUUUAUGCUUGAUACUAAUUGGAGGUGAGGUGGAUAUCGGAAGUUUUGGAGGGGAGGGGGUCAUAUCUCAUGUUUUCAUUUACUUGAUUGAAUCUGUUGCAUUCACAGUAUUAUUUUUUUGUUUUUCUUUAAGUAUUAUUAAUCAAUGUAAUAAUUAUUAACAAUUUUAUUUAUUCAAUUGCAAUUUAUUUUUGAUGAUUUUUUAACAUAAUUUUAAUGAGCAGGGCUUUCAGUAUUAUUUGUGGAAGAGAUGAUGCAUGUAUUACACCACAUUUGAAGACAGUUUAAAACAAAUCCUUUGGUUUACAUUUACUUUGCCAAUGAUAAAAAUUGGAAUUAAUUAAGGUGGCUACAACUUUUUAUUAUUGGCUAAGAUGGAAAAGAACCUAAUAUACAAUGUAUUAACUUUAUGUUAAUUAUUGCCAAAUGCUUGGAGAUAAAAGCAAGUUCUUGAAUUGGAAAAUAAAACAAGACAUAAAAUUUUAUGUACUUUUGUUGUUGCCAAUUAUAUAUAUAUGUGUAAGAUCAUUGAUAAUGCUUAAGUAUAAUUUUAUAUGGAACAUUACAUGUACUAAAAAUACUAUGUCAUAUUCAAAAUAUUACAGUACUUAUAAGGUCCUUUUAGUGAUGUGGUUUAAAUUUACACAAUCAUUGUCAGAAAUAAUUGUUUUUGUAUUUUAUAAAAAACUUAGUUAGAGAUGAAAUGCUUUUAAUGAAAUGCAUAGAAAUCUAUCCAUUGUCCUAAGUAAAUCCAAUCUAAUGGAUAUUUUUUUUUGUUUGGACAUUAAGUCAUGACAAAUCAACUGUUCUGUUUAUAUCUUGUUAUUAAAUGAUUUAUGCCAUU
rnacentral:misc_RNA from 1 species